rnacentral:rRNA from 1 species
UACGUAGGGGCCUAGCGUUGUCCGGAAUUAUUGGGCGUAAAGAGCUCGUAGGCGGUUCGGCAAGUCGGAUGUGAAAUCUCCACGCUUAACGUGGAGGGGCCAUUCGAAACUGCUGUGACUCGAGUCCGGUAGGGGAGUGUGGAAUUCCCGGUGUAGCGGUGAAAUGCGCAGAUAUCGGGAGGAACACCAGUAGCGAAGGCGGCACUCUGGGCCG